AUAAACUAAACGUUGGAGUAUAUAUUGUAAUUAUCUUAACACGCAAGUCAGUUUCAAUUAGUGGCUCUUCGAGUGACGUACUUAACCAGAAUUCUGUGCAAAAGACAACAUCAUAUAAAUCUUUUGAAAAAUGAUUCGCUUUGUUAUAAAGUGUUUGAUCAUUUUGUGCUCAAUUUCAAUGUUAUUGGCCGCACCGUCAUUUGGCUCCACUACAGAGUGCCUGAAUUGUGCACCUAAAGACCCGAUAGAUGCAUAAUUAAACCCAGUGAUUGGAAUAAACAUAAAUACCAAUGAA